UCGCAAAUCUCAACGCAAGGAGCGCAGGAAACCAGUCUGCCGCUCGCUGCGUCUUCCCCUGUUUAUUUUCGAUACGGGAAAUUUCUUCCAUUCGGUUUCCUCUUUGAUCGGCUGUCUCCAAAACCCUGAUCUCCGAACGCUCCGGCGUCCGAUCGAACAAAGAGAGAUCAUAAAACUGAUUCCUACGAUAAAGGGUCGCAGCGAUGGGGAAGAAGAAGAAGCGCCCGUCGAAGGUGUGGUGCUACUACUGCGAUCGGGUGUUCGACGACGAGAAGAUCCUUGUCCAGCAUCAGAAGGCCAAGCACUUCAAGUGCCAUGUAUGUCACAAGAAGCUCUCCACCGCCGGUGGCAUGGCCAUCCACGUCCUCCAAGUCCACAAGGAGACGGUCACCAAAGUUCCCAAUGCCAAACCUGAUAGAGAAUCAACAGAGAUCGAGAUUUAUGGAAUGCAAGGAAUUCCUCCUGAUAUUUUAGCAGCUCACUAUGGAGAGGAUGAAGAGGUAUCAGUAAAGGCAGCUAAACUGGAAGUUCCAUCCACUGGGCUCGUUGGUGGAGUGGUUCCUGGUCCACUGGGCAUCAGAUUCCCUCCCCCAACAUUAUAUGGUUCAGUUCCACCAGUAUACAAUCCCACAAUUCCAGUGAUGCCUCCAACAUGGCCUCUUCCAGCUGCUCAACCACAGCCUUGGUUUCGACCGCCAUUGGCUGUUUCAGUACCUCCACCUAUUGUGGCACCACAACAGCCAUUAUUUCCUGUCCAGAAUGUUACGGCUCCUAUGACCUCCACUUCUGCCCCUGGACUUCAAUCACCACUUCAAGCUGGUCCACCUGGCCUGCCCUCAUCUGCACCACCUGCAGUAUCCCAACCACUAUUUCCAAUCCACAGUCCAGCUGGUGCACCUGCUCAGAGGUCUCCAUUUUUGACAACAUCUUCACUUGCAAUCAUUUCAUCAAGCUCCCCAACAAUGUUGAAAGGUGGUACGCCAUAUGCAAACUCACAUAUGUAUGCAUCUGGUCCAAACACUGAGAAUCCUUCAAUUGGACCUCCACCUGUAAUAUCCAACAAACCACCUCCUUCUAAUCCUACCACAAAUGAGGUCUACUUGUUAUGGGAUGAUGAAGCAAUGUCAAUGGAGGAAAGAAGAAUGUCUCUAGCAAAGUAUCAGGUGCAUGAUGAAACUAGCCAGGUAAGUUAUUACUACCUUUUGUUUACUCAUUCUAAUGGAUAUGCAACUUGGUUGCGAAUCCAAAUAGGUAGGGGAAAAAGAAAGAAAUCCUUGCAGAUUUUUUGGGCUAUACUUUAAUGUACUUUACAUUUGAUAACUCCAUCUGAAUCUUGAUAAUACAGUCUAUUAUGGAAUAAUUGCAUUUGUGGCUCUUCUGAGUUUUACUACUAGGCCUUUUAUCUAAUUAAUUUGUAGUUAUGACACUGGUUGAUGGGAAAAAGGAUAUUCUUCUUCAUUCCCAUCGUCUCAUUUUUAGUGGGGCAUCAAACGAUUCCAAGUAGGUAUUUACAUUAUUUUUGCUGUUAGUUAGUGUUACAAAUCUGACAAGUUUGUGCUGCAAAUGACUCGAGGGUUCUCAACCUAGCACCAGGACCAUGCAAAAAUGUAUGUAUUGUGUUCUGAUUAAGUUUUGAGUUUCUUUUAUAUGGUAUUCAUUCUCCCUAUUGCUUCUUAAUGAGCGUGGGGCUUGGGUGGAACGAGAAUAUAUGCCAGCAGGCUUUUGUCAAUACGUAGCAUUUGUUGUUAUCUGUUUUUGAUCAGUGUGGGACCAGAGUUGAUGCAGAUGAGCUCCAUCGAUGCAGCUAUAGACAGAAGAAUAUCUGAGAGACGGCUUGCUGGCCGUAUGACAUUCUAGUAUUCCCCAGUGCUGGAAUGGUGAAGUCGGUGGUGACGGACUUUGGAAGCCUGGUUGAGUUUUUUGUCGCGGCAGUGGGCAGGUGCAAAUGGUGAUGGUAGACCAUUUUAUUGGUUAAACUUAAUGAUAUGAGUUGGAUGUUAAAGUGGCAGUUAAUGUUGCUAAACAGUUUGACUGGGUUCAUAGAAGAUCUUCCUCUUGUUCCAAGUAGGGUGUUCCAUCUUAAUGUAAUCCAUUUAAAAUGAUUUUAAUUUGAUUGUGGAGUAGACAAUUUGGAUCUUGUAA